rnacentral:Y_RNA from 12 species
GGUUGGUCCAAGUGCAGUGGUGUUUACAACUAAUUGAUCACAGUCAGUUACAGAUUACUUUGUUCCUUCUCCAUUCCCACUGCUUCACUUGACCAGCCUUAA